AUUGAACGCUGGCGGCAUGCCUUACACAUGCAAGUCGAACGGCAGCGCGGACUUCGGUCUGGCGGCGAGUGGCGAACGGGUGAGUAAUGUAUCGGAACGUACCAUUCAGUGGGGGAUAACGCAGCGAAAGUUGCGCUAAUACCGCAUAUUCUGUGCGCAGGAAAGCAGGGGAUCGCAAGACCUUGCGCUGCUUGAGCGGCCGAUAUCAGAUUAGCUAGUUGGUGAGGUAAAGGCUCACCAAGGCGACGAUCUGUAGCGGGUCUGAGAGGAUGAUCCGCCACACUGGAACUGAGACACGGUCCAGACUCCUACGGGAGGCAGCAGUGGGGAAUUUUGGACAAUGGGCGCAAGCCUGAUCCAGCCAUGCCGCGUGAGUGAAGAAGGCCUUCGGGUUGUAAAGCUCUUUCGGCCGGGAAGAAAUCGCAUGGGUUAAUACCCUGUGCGGAUGACGGUACCGGCAUAAGAAGCACCGGCUAACUACGUGCCAGCCGCCGCAGUAA
rnacentral:rRNA from 1 species